rnacentral:lncRNA from 1 species
ACUAACAUGAUGAAAAAGACUGUAAAAGAAAAAAAACAGAUCAUUUUGUGAAGUUUAUAGUUAGUAGACCUGACCUAAGUGUGAAAGGCAAGGAGGAAAUUAGGUCUGUAUAUGAAAAAUCAGAUCAUUUUGUGAAGUUUAUAGUUAGUAGACCUGACCUUAGUGUGAAAGGUAAAGAGGAAGUUAGGUCUGUAUAUGACAAAUCAGAUCAUUUUGUGAAGUUAUAGUUAGUAGACCUGACCUAAGUGUGAAAGAUACAGAGGAAAUAUCAGGUCUGUAUAUGAAAAAUGCGAUCAUUUUGUGAAGUUUAUAGUUAGUAUGUAAGGUUAGAGGAAAUCAUGUCUGUAGUUUGUACAAGAAAAUCAGAUCAUUUUGUGAAGUUUAUAGUUAGUAGAGUUGACCUAAGGGAAGUGGAAAUCAGGCAUGCCUUGUUAACAUGUAAGCCGAAUUGUUAACAAUCUAUUUAUGUAUUUAUUAUCCCUUAUCCUUCCAGCAAAAUUUUUUUGGUAAA